UGAACCAGUGAGGUGCUGGUUGAAGCUUGAGAAGGUCUUCGAGCUUUGUUGAGCUGAAUUUGUACUCUUAGAAGCUGAUUUGGAAGCUGCUCUAAUCAAGGCGAGAGGGUGUUUGACCCUUGGACCGCCUUCGUUUGGCCUUGGAGGGCCUUCUGGAAGCUUAACGUGAGGUAUUGAACUAAGCCAAAACAGGGAUUUAAGCUAUUCCUAUGUAUUAAGUGCAAUUGCGCCGAAAUUGGACAUUUCAAUCGUGAUUUGAUACGAUCUUUGUG